GCGAGGUUUUUGCCCGGAGGGGGCACGGAGGGAACGAACACUUGGGGAGAAGAUGAUCGACGGUUCGCCUCUUGCAGCAGAUACAGCGGAGGAAGAGUUUCCGGCGGCGGAGGUUGUGUCGACAGAGCCACCGAGGAUUCAUCGUCUUGAUGAGUCGGUGGUCAAUCGGAUUGCGGCUGGGGAAGUGAUCCAACGGCCAAUAUCGGCGGUGAAGGAGCUGGUGGAGAACAGCCUCGACGCUGAUUCCACUUCAAUCAGCGUUGUUGUCAAGGAAGGUGGCUUGAAGCUCAUUCAAGUUUCCGACGACGGCCAUGGCAUCAGACUUGAAGACUUGCCGAUAUUGUGCGAGAGACAUACGACCUCAAAGCUCUCUAAGUACGAGGACUUGUUCUCACUCAAUUCGAUGGGUUUUAGAGGAGAGGCAUUGGCUAGUAUGACCUAUGUCGGUCAUGUUACAGUAACCACAAUCACCAAAGGCCAGUUGCAUGGCUACAGGGUAUCGUACAGAGAUGGUGUAAUGGAGCAUAAACCAAAGGCGUGUGCUGCUGUCAAAGGAACCCAGAUAAUGGUGGAGAAUUUGUUCUACAAUAUGAUUGCUAGAAGAAAGACGCUUCAAAAUUCUGCUGAUGAUUAUGCCAAAAUAGUAGACUUGCUGAGUCGGUUUGCCAUUCAUCACAAGAAUGUGAGCUUUUCUUGUCGAAAGAAUGGAGCUGUCAGGGCCGAUGUCCACUCAGUGGCAGCGUCUUCGAGGCUGGACACUAUCAGAUCUGUUUAUGGGGUAUCGGUUGCAAAGAACUUGAUGGAAGUUGAAAUUUCCUGCUCAGAUGCCUCUGGUUGUGUUUUUGAAAUGGAGGGUUAUGUCUCAAAUUUGAACUAUAUUGCUAAGAAGACCACAUUGGUGCUUUUCAUCAACGAUAGAUUGGUUGAAUGCUCUUCCCUGAAGAGAGCUAUCGAAAUUGUUUAUGCUGCAACAUUACCAAAAGCAUCAAAACCUUUUGUAUAUAUGUCAAUCAAGUUGCCAUAUGAGCAUGUUGAUAUCAAUAUUCAUCCGACAAAGAAAGAGGUAAGCCUUUUAAACCAGGAAGUCAUAAUUGAGAAGAUACAGUCAGAGAUUGAAUCAAAACUGAGGAACACAAAUGACUCUAGGACAUUUCAAGAGCAGAAGGCAGAACUCAUUCAAUCUACUCUAAUAGCCACACCAAGCGAUCUGCCUGUUUCUCCUUUGCCAUCUGGACAAAAAUUGCAGAAGGUUCCUGUGCAGAAGAAAAUGGUCAGAAUAGAUUCGUCAGACCCAGCUGGAAGGCUGCAUGCUUAUCUGCAACCCAUGUCCCAGAGUCAAUCUGAGAAGGUUUCUCGCUUGAAUGUGGUUAGGUCUUCUGUGAGGCAAAGAAGGAACCCAAAGGAAACUGCCGAUCUUUCCAGUGUCCAGCAGCUGAUUGCAGAGAUUGAUAGCAGCUGCCAUUCAGGUCUGCUGGACAUUGUAAAGAACAGCACAUAUGUUGGAAUGGCAGAUGAUAUUUUUGCCCUAGUUCAGUAUAAUACUCAUCUAUAUCUAGCAAAUGUGGUGAACCUCAGUAAAGAGCUCAUGUAUCAACAAACUAUUCGCCGCUUUGCUCAUUUUAAUGGAAUUCAGCUUAGUGAUCCAGCGCCUCUGUCCGAGUUGAUAUUAUUGGCUCUGAAAGAAGAAGAUUUGGAUCCAGGAAACGAUGAGGAAGAUGAUCUGAAAAAGAAGAUUGCUGAAAUGAAUACAGAACUCCUCAAGGAAAAAUCAGAAAUGUUAGAGGAGUAUUUCGGCAUUAACAUAGAUUCGGAUGGAAAUUUGUCACGGAUUCCUAUUGUACUUGAUCAGUAUACACCUGACAUGGACCGGGUCCCGGAAUUUGUACUAUGCUUGGGCAAUGAUGUCAAUUGGGAGGAGGAGAAGGAUUGUUUCCAAGGAGUUGCUGCUGCAAUUGGGAAUUUUUAUGCCCUGCAUCCUCCUCUUUUGCCAAACCCAUCAGGCGAUGGUAUUCAGUUUUACACGAAGAAGAAAAAUAAUGGGAGCUCACAAGAAAAUCCUAAUUCAGGGGGUGAUGUCGAGAUGGAGGAGAUUCUCGAAGACAACCUUCUUUCAGAUGCUGAAAACGCAUGGGCUCAACGUGAAUGGUCGAUCCAACACGUGUUAUUUCCGUCGAUGAGACUGUUCUUAAAGCCACCGACCUCCAUGGCUUCAAACGGGACUUUUGUAAAGGUUGCAUCCCUCGAGAAACUAUACAAGAUAUUCGAACGAUGCUAAUUGAACAUCAUAUACUACAAAAUACAAGCAACUGCAAAAAUAGUCUUGACCACAUAUGGAAUGUCCAAUGCACCUGCCCGGGUGGGCAACUCGACAUUUCUGACUUACCUGUUUCAGUUGAAAAAAGAAAAACACAAGUUGCAACCAACAACUGUGAAAUUUUCGGCCAUCUAGACUUAGACCAUCUGGCCUGAGCCCGUGAGCCGUUCGAAUGAUCGUUCACCAAAAUCUCCGUCCUUGCUCUGAGCUGUCUUCUGGAAUGGUAAAUUGACUGGUCUUGAUUGA